rnacentral:rRNA from 1 species
UACGAAGGGUGCAAGCGUUACUCGGAAUACUGGGCGUAAAGCGUGCGCAGGCGGUUUUGUAAGUCAGAUGUGAAAUCCCCGGGCUUAACCUGGGAAUGGCAUUUGGGACUGCAAGGCUGGAGUACGGCAGAGGAGACUGGAAUUCCUGGUGUAGCAGUGAAAUGCGUAGAGAGUCAGGAGGAAUACCGAUGGCGAAGGCAGGUCUCUGGGCUGAUACUGACGCUCAUGCACGAAAGCGUGGGGAGCAACAGG